rnacentral:rRNA from 1 species
UACAGAGGUGGCAAGCGUUGUUCGGAAUUACUGGGCGUAAAGGGCGCGUAGGCGGCCUCGCAAGUCCCGUGUGAAAUCCCUCGGCUCAACUGAGGAAUGGCACGGGAAACUGCGGGGCUUGAGUUCGGGAGAGGGAAGCGGGAAUUCCGGGUGUAGCGGUGAAAUGCGUAGAUAUCCGGAGGAACACCAGUGGCGAAGGCGACU